UCUAAUUUUUAAGGAAUUAUUUUCUUCAGCUAGUUUUUGUACCCCUAGUUCCAUUUUAAAGUUUUUUCUUCACUGAAUUUUUGUGUAAUUUCCCCUUUUCUUUUUGCUUCCUUUACCAAGCUGAUGACUAUUUUUCAUGAUUCUUUUGCAUCACUCACUUCUUUCCUAAAUUUUUCUUCUACCUCUCUUACUUGAUUUUUCAAUUCCUUUUUGAGCUCUUCUAAGAGGACUUUUUGACUUAGACCAAAUUUUAUUCCUCUCUGAGGCUUCACUAGGGUUGUCUUUUGAGAAUUUUUCAGUCACUUUUUUUUUUUAAGUUUUAAAGUUGAGCUAGACUCCUGGGGUACAGGAGGCCCUCUCCUAAUCUCCUGCUUUUCCUGCCAGGGGCCUCAUCACUGCUUUUCUGCACCAAGGAGUGUUCCAGGAUUUCAUCCAACCUCUGCUUUCCAAGGGACCCAGUUCCCACUGACCAAGACACACACCUACAGGAAAGAAAUAACAAGGAGCCCAGUAUGGGGGGACCUGCAUCUGUGACUGUGUGUGUGUGCAGGUGUGAACAUGUGUGUGUGUGUGUGUGUGUGUGAGCGGGUAUGCCAGCAUCUGUAACUCUCUACAUCUUUGACCAUAUAUAUGUAUCUGCAUCAGUAAGUACGCAAAUGUGAACAAAUGUGUCUGCAUCUGUGACCAUGAGUGUGUCGAUGUGACCGUGUUAGUGUGCAAGCAUGACCAUAUGUGUCUGCAUCUUGUGACCAUGAGUGUGUCUGUGUGACCGUGUGUGCCUGCAUUUGAAUGUGCCAGUGUGGCCAAGUGUGUGUGCAGGUGGGACCCCAUGUAUGUGUCAGCAUCUGUGACCAUCUAUAUGUCUGGGGCCCUGCAUGAGGGUGUGCAUGUGGGAGCCAGAAUGACCAUAUCUUGUGUCUUGCCAUCUGCGUGUGAGUGCCUCACUACCCAUGGGCAUUUUGGACACCCACCCCCACCAGUCCCUGAGUUUCCUCAACUGCCCCCCCCCCCCCCCCCCCCCCCCCCCCCGUGUAACUGUGAGGCUGUGGGAGUGCGCCCUGGGGGACUGUGGGCUCCAGACACAGUUGUCCCCGUGGGUUUGCAAGAGAUGGGGGUGGGUGCGAGGGAGGGUCCGGCUCCGGGUGGGCGGGGCCCGGAGGCGGGGCUUAGCGGCGCCCAGCCCCGCGCCGCUCCUCCCUGCGCACUGCAGAAAGCCUCUGCCUCCUCCCGUCUCAGUCUUCUCCAGGCGCUCCUCACGGUGCCUCUGGACUUGUCCCUGCGCCCCGGACCUUAGGACCGCCCGCCCGCCGCGCUGGUAGGUCCCGGGCGGCCGCUCCGUGCCCUGUCGCGGGAAGGACCCCUCGCCUCUGCCCCCUCGCUUCCGCCCCUUAACCUGCGAGUGCUGGAGGGACGGAGGGACAGAAGGAGGAAGGAAAGGAGGUGUUUCUUGUAAACAACAUUUUGUUAGAUUCUUGUUUCUAAUUCAUUCUGCUAUCUGCUUCUGUUUUACAGGAGUGCCUCUAUUUCGCUCAGUGUCCAUUUUUUUGCCUCUGAAGAAUUCUACUCAGUUUUGUCGGAUUGUCCUUCACUUCAUUGCAUUUGCAUUCCCAAUCACUUGUUUUCCAUUCGGGUUCUUUGAUGACACUUGCCACCAACCUUAGGUAAGAAGAGGAGCAAGAACUUCCUUCCUCUGCUCACUUGUCAUCCAUCUCUUGCUGUGGAAAGCUGCUUGAGACUGAUGGUUCUGCUUCAGUGCAAGACAACUUACACCUCCUACUAACAGACUUACUCCUGCUGGUAAAAGAGCCUCUGUGGGGAGUCCCUGAUUCAUGUGAAGAAGAGGCCUUUCCUUUGACCUCAGGCCUUCCAUCUCCUCCUGCACCUAUCCCUUGAGGGUAGACCCAAGUCAGUAGGGAGCGGGACCUCCAACUCCUGCUGUACCACCUUGUGACAUCCAGUUUUUCACAGAAGCAAAGUAGUGAAAUGGGGCCUCCCAUCUGACCAUCUGACUGCGUGCCUUCUAGUUGCUGCUGUACUUGUCUUUUGCCUGAUCUUCAGCCUCCUCUGGGAAGAGGAGUAGUGCCUUCAAUAAUGAACCUUCCUCCUCCUGGUCAUACUUUACAAAUCCCAGUGAUUCUGAAUCCCUGUAGGCCAUCACCCAAGCCACAUACUCCAUCUCCCACUACCAGGUUCCUUGUUUCCAUCCCUCUAAACCCUCCCACCCCAAAGUCACCACCAAAUACUACCCCUUCUACUCCAUCAUCCAGAAUGCCUGUUCCAUAGACAGCAAACUUCCAUUCAUCCACAAUCUCUAGCCAUCUUCUCGCCAUCACUGAAACCUGGCUGCCCCAUGAUGGCACAACAUCCUUGGCCAGUCUUUCAAGUAUUGGCUGUACUUUUACUCAUUCCCCUUGAUUUACUGGUCGAGGCAAAGGAGUUGGAGUACCCCAUUGCUGUUUCUGGGUUCUCCCUUCCUCCAUUCCUCAGAAACCUCUCCUGUGAGGGUCAUGCACUUCAUCCCUUCCACCCAAACACAAUCCUGGUAGCUGUUGUCUAUAUACCUCCAGGUAACUCCACUUCUUUCUUCAAUGAAUUCAGUUACGUCUUGCAAUUUGUCUCGCCUCCCAAAGUCCUGUUUUCAGGUUAGUGGACUUCAGCGUACCUCCUAAUUUUUGCUCAAAACACCCAAACCAUUUGCUUCCUCCAUUGACUCAUUCCCCUCACUCCUGAAUCACUUAGCCACCCAAAAAGAUGGUCAUACCUUUAUCACCCACAGAUAUUUAGUAAUUCUAAUAUCUUCUAAUUUGACAUAAUCCAUUCUUUUUUUCUCUUCUCUCUUUCCUUUUCAAAACCUACUUUUCAUUCCCACCAAUCUCUUAGCCUCUCACUUCUUUUUAAAGCUAUCUCCACUACACUAAUCUGAUAUCUUGGUUAAUCAAUAGAACUUUACACUGUCCUUUGGAAUCAGUCCCCACACCAUCAUUUCACUGAUUGUCUGAUUCCUGCUUAGCCACUUUUGGCUUACUCCCACCAUUUGCCACCUUCUGAUUUUACACACACUCACACAGGUGAACAAAGGUAGAGAUAAACACAACAGACCUGGGUCUACUACAAACUUGUUACCCAGUUUCUUUAUAUAACAUCUAGUGUACAGAAUCAGAAUAGACAGGGGGGACUGUUGGGAGCACUAUCUUGUGGUUGACUCAGACAUUAUACUCUUCCUGUUCAAUCACAUGGACAGAACAUAGUAUUAGACUUUGGCUCAUUUAAAAUCUAGAUUUGCUGGAUUGUAACUAGCACCUAACUCCUAUUUAACCAAUGUAAAGAUUGGCAGAAUGGUGCAGAAAGGAAUGAUGGAUUGAAGUAAGUGAUGAAUUCUUUCUGUAUCAAUAUAAAUUCAGACUAAAUUAUCCCCAUUAAAAGUGCCCAUUACAUUCUUAAACCCUAUAAAAGGUCAUCUGACAUUGGAUUUAGACUCAAUCACAGUGGAGAUAGUAUUGAGCGGAUUUCAGCCAAAAAUAUAGCCGUUGCCCAUCUACAAGAACAAAUAAUUGGAGGAAAUAAAUACGAGGGACAUAAAUGUUCUUUUUAAUAGUGUUUCUUAAGUUGGUAUUAAAAUUAGAAAAUAAAAAACACAAGUUUGACUUAUGCUAACACUUAACUAGUGUUAAAUUGAGCAUGCAGUUAAAUGCUAAUCCAGGAAUGAGGGCUUAUCAAAAUUGUUAACCUUGGAGUAUUCAAAAAUCAUAGUAGGUGAGGCUUACAGUGGUGCUGUAAUCAUAGCCAGUAGUCAAACUAGGAUUCCAAUCUGGUGCUUUUGAUUCCAGUUCCAGUGAUCUUACCACUGGACCACAUUCUCCAUCUUCCCCCAUCUGUGGCAAUUCAUUCUGAACCAAUCCAUUUCUGUCUGUCUGUCUCAGGCUCUUCCCCCUUUCUCUCUCCCUCCCUCUUCCUCUCCUUUCAGUCACUGCCAAACUUUUCCAAUGUAUGAUCUGUAUCUACUGUCUCAAAUUCCCUUUCCCCCCACCCAUUCCUUAGAUCACUCAGUGGGUCUUCAGGCUCAUAGUCAAAGAUUUAGAUCUGAAAUGGACCUUGGAACUCAUCUGGUUCAAUCCCCUCAUUUGACAGAGGCCAAGGGAAAUGAAGUGACUUGUAUGAGAUAAUGCAGCUUGUAAGUGCCUGAAGCAGGAUUUGACAUCAGGUCUUCCUGCCUCAAAGAUCAGGGGUGUAGCCAUGAAAUCAUACUGUCUCCUAUCCCCUCAUCUUACUUGGUUUCUCUCAUCUCUAAGUUCUAAGAUAAGAAGUGUAAUGGAGCAAUUUAUUUUUGAAAUUGUAAAAGAAAAAUUAUUUUCCCCAAAUACAGUGUUCCUUGUGAUAAGCAUUGAAUAUAUAAUUGUUGAGCUGACUUGUUUUUUGGUUUUUUUUGUUUUUGUUUUUGUUUUGCUUUCUGCCUGAUAUGUGAUAGUCUAUGCUGAAUGAGUGAAUUCCUUAUCGUUUCUCUGUCCUUUGUUGAAAUGAGAGUUUUAAAAGGAUUUCUGUGACAGCUUACUCUAUGACAAAUAUUAAAAAGUUAAAUAAGAGUCGUCAUUUCUGCACCAAAGAUAACGGAAAGGUUCUGUAGGUAUUGUGUCAUAUAAACAAAUGUUUAUGCUAUGCUGAACCCAUGUAUGAGAAGUCAUAGCUUAGCUUAAAAGGAGAUCUUGGAAUACACUAGGGAGGGGGAGGGUGUGUUCCUUUUGAGAGUUAGAAAUGAUAAUUAAAACUAUAUGAAUAUGGUAUGGGUGAUGCCUUUUGACUUGCAUGUAAAUUGGAUUUAAGUGAGAAAGAGUUGCUUGAAGCCUUCAGUCACACUUCUUCCAGAAUCAUUGGAGUUCAAUGGCAGGACAAAAAUGAAGAUGACUGGCUAACACUCUGGAUGCAGUGGAUGACGCUGACCAAGCUCUACAGUGCUCCCCGGGGCCUGCUUCUGUUGCCUUUGGGCCCAUUGACACAAAAUGUUCACAUGUUCUUAUUAAAUACAUCAGGGAUGUUUUCAUAUGCUUGGGGUAGACACCCCUCUGACUCACAGAUGAGUUUGUGGUCCAUCAGUUACCCUCAACGUGGCGUUAGCCCAUCUGUUGAGGUGGCUCUGUUGGGGUGUGGCCACUGCUCAUUGCCACAGCUGCUUUUUGGAGCUACCAUUGAGAGCUAGGUGCUCUAGUGUAUACACCAAAGAUGGAUGAGCAGCCCUGAGAAGUUUUUAGCAAGACCUCCUUGCCAUAGAGGUACAAGUUUUUCCUGAACACCAUAUACAUCCCAGUGAAUAUAAGAGAACAUUAAACAGUAAAAAUUUAAUUAUCCAUGAUUUAUUUAACAAUUAGCAAUGUGAUAACAUGUUCCUUUGAAUACAAUAUUGAUAUUCAGUAAUAUCAACCCGCAGUGCUCUCUACCAGAGCCUGAAGGAAAUGGAUCAUCUCACUCAGCCUCAUGCAUCUGAGUACAAGCAUGGUCACACAGGUGAUCAAGUCAGUAAACAUUUAUUAAGGACCUACUCUGUGAUAGGCUAUGUACUAAGCAUAAGAAAACAAAGAUAUCCUCUGUCAUUGAAGAGCUUACAAACUAAGCUUGGACACAACAAGCAAACAAUUAUGCACAAAAAGGUUUAUACAGGAUCAGGUGAGCAUGUAAGAAACAAAAGAUCUUGCCAAGAACUCCACUGACUUGCUGAUGAAUUCAGGAAAGAGUUAUUUUACAUUCUUGUAAGGAUGGCUACUUACAUGAGCCCUUUGACUCCCCUUUGAAACUCCAAAGGCAACAUUUUAUUCCCUAUCCUGAAGCAUAAAUCCCUCCCCUGAUUCCCCAUUAACUGAAUGUUACAAAAGUUAUAGGACAUGAAUUUCCAGCCCUUGUUACAUAGUCCCUGCCCCAAGGAACUUCCAUUCUAGAAGAGGGAAGUAACAAAGGGAGGGCUGAGGGCAAAGAAGAUUCUUUUCAAAUCUCAGGCCAUCACCUCCAGUUUCAAAAGUCAGUCCCUGCCCCCAAGAAGCUUACCGCCUUUUGGGAGAGAUAACCUUCACUCUUGAUGAUUCUCUGAUGUCCUUGCGGAUUUCAGUUUUCUAAUUUAAGUUUCAUUUCUCCAAUUUAAUUUCCAUAACUGUGGAAGCCAAAUAAUUGCCCAUCCAUUUCUUAAAGAUACACAAAUUGUACUAAACCCAAAAUGCCUACAUUCUGAGAGGCAUCAUUCUCUCUGUAUAUGUGAAUCUAAGUGAAAUAAUCCUUGAGGCAAAUGGGAACUGAGCCUGAGGCAGAGCAGCCUCCCUGUUCCCUGACCCUGGGAGGGGAGGGGUCUCAUACUCCUUAGCAGUGGGACACAAAAUGCUUAGCAUGGACAUACUCCAUGUUAAGACCCACACCUCCACUUAGAGAAGAAGCCAAUCAGAAAAAAAUGACAAGGUUUUUUCUUUUUUUGCUUUUAUGUUGUUGUUUUGAAUUCUAUAGCAUAUUAAUUCAAUGGAUCCAAAACUGGAUUUCUUUUUUUUUUUAAUUUAUUUUUUAAUAGCUUUUUAUUUACAAGUUAUAUGUGUGGGUAAUUUAACAGCAUUGACAAUUGCCAAACCUUUUGUUCCAAUUUUCCCCUCCUUCCUACCACUCCCUCCCCCAGAUGGCAGGAUGACCAGUAAAUGUUAAAUAUAUUAAAGUAUAAAUUAGAUACACAAUAAGUAUACAUGACCAAACCGUUACUUUGCUGUACAAAACGAAUUGGACUCUGAAAUAUUGUACAAUUAGCCUGUGAAGGAAAUCCAAAAUGCAGGCAGGCAAAAAUAUAGGGAUUGGGAAUUCAAUGUAAUGGUUCUUAGUCAUCUCCCAGAGUUCUUUCUCUGGGCAUAGCUGGUUCAGUUCAUUCCUGCUCCAUUGGAACUGAUUUGGUUCAUCUCAUUGCUGAGGAUGGCCAGGUCCAUCAGAAUUGAUCAUCAUAUAGUAUUGUUGUUGAAGUACAUAAUGAUCUCCUGGCCCUGCUCGUUUCACUCAGCAUCAGUUCGUGUAAGUCUCUCCAGGCGUUUCUGAAAUCAUCCUGUUGGUCAUUUCUUACAGAACAGUAAUAUUCCAUAAUAUUCAUAUACUACAAGCCAUUCUCCAAUUGAUGGGCAUCCACUCAGUUUCCAGUUUCUGACCACUACAAACAGGGCUGCCACAAACAUUUUUGCACAUGUGGGUUCCUUUCCCUACUUUAUGAUCUCUUUGGGAUAUAAGCCCAUUAGAAACACUGCUGGAUCAAAGGGUAUGCACAGUUUGAUAACUUUUUGGGCGUAGUUCCAAAUUGCUCUCCAGAAUGGCUGGACGUAUUCACAACUCCACCAACAAUGUAUCAGUACCCCAGUUUUCCCACAUCCCCUCCAACAUUCCCCAUUAUCUUUCCCUGUCAUUCUAGCCAAUCUGACAGGUGUGUAGUGGUAUCUCAGAGUUGUCUUAAUUUGCAUUUUUCUGAUUAAUAAUGACUUGGAGUAUCUCUUUUCAUAUGGCUAGAAAUAGUUUCAAUUUCUUCAUCUGAGAAUUGUCUGUUCGCAUCCUUUGACCAUUUAUCAAUUGGAGAAUGGCUUGAUUUCUUAUAAAUUAGAGUAAAUUCUCUAUUUUGGAAAUGAGUCCUUUAUCAGAACCUUUGACUGUAAAAAUAUUUUCCCAGUUUAUUGCUUCCCUUCUAAUCUUGUCUGCAUUAGUUUUGUUUGUACAAAAACUUUUCAGUUUGAUAUAAUCAAAAUUUUCUAGUAAUGAUCUCUAGUUCUUCUUUGGUCAUAAAUUCCUUCCUUUUCCACAGGUCUGAGAGGUAAACUAUCCUGUGUUCCUCUAAUUUAUUUAUAAUCUCAUUCUUUAUAUUUAGGUCAUGAACUCAUUUUGACCUUAUCUUGGUGUACGGUGUUAAGUGUGGGUCGAUGCUUAGUUUCUGACAUAGUAGCAAAACUGGACUUCUUAUGAGAGUCUCCCCUGCAAUACACCCUUCUGAACUUUCCCAUUACUGUCAAGGACAUUCCUUCACACACAAAAUGAUACACAAAAAGAUAUUCCCACCUACAUGCUUUUGCAUAGGAAUGCAUUACAGCCUCACAGUUCUGCCUCUGAGAAGUCCUAGUUUCCUCGCUGCCCUCCCCUCAUUGAGAUCUUCCUUUUCCACUCUACCAUUCCCUUGUAUUUUAUAUUUUAUAUAGAUUUAUACUGACCCUGCUGCAUCCACUAAUAAGAUAUAAUUUCUUUGAGGGCAGGGAAUAUUUCAUUUUUUUUUGUCUUUGUAGCCCCAGCACCCAUGGCACAUAUUAGGGGAUUAAUAAAUGCUCUUACCCAUUGAUUGACAUACAAAAAUAUAGCGUGGUAUUUUGUUAAAAUCCAGUAGCUAUACUGGCUAUUGUAGUAUACUGAAAUGUUUAGGCCAAAAUUAUACUUUAGUAAUAAGUUUUCAUGUUCUCUCUCCUCCCCCUACCCCAGAAUCACAGAAUCUUAAAGGUGGAAAGUAUUUCCAAGGCCACCAUUCCAACCUAAAUGAAAAUUAUCUUUGUAGUAUCUCCUAACAAGUGGUAAAUUGCUUCAAUCAAUCCAUGAGUAUUUAUGAAACUCCUACUAUGUGCUAGGCACUGUGAUAAGCACUGAGGAUACAAAAAAAGGCAAAAGUCUGUCCUCAAAGAGCUUACAAUCUAAUGGGGGAAGACAAUAUACAAAGAAAUAUAAAUCAAGCUAUAUGUAGGAAAAAUACACAAUGAAGAGGGGAGGUACUAGAAUUAACAGGGACUGAGGAAAGUGGAAUUUAAAGAAAACCAGGGAAGUUAAUAGUUAGAGUGGAAGAGAGAACAUUCCAUGCUUGAGAGACAGCCAGAGAGAAUGCCCAGAACCAAGAGAUGAAAGAUCUUGUUUAUGGAACACCCAGGAGGCCAAUGUUACUGAGUUAAAAAUACAGAAAGAAGAUGUAAGAAGACUAGAAAGAUAAGAAAGAAAGGAAAGAAAGGAAAGGAAGCUGGGAUAUGAAGGGUUUUGAAUGCCCAGCCACCUUUUGGAUUUGAUCUUGGCGGUGACGGAACUACUAAAAUUUACUGAAUAGGGAGAUGACAUGAUUGCAUCUGCACUUUAGAAAAAUCACUUUAGUGGUUGAGUGGAUGAUGGAUUGGAGUGGGGAGAAACUUGAGGCAGACAGAUCCACAAUUAUCUUUUGCUGCAGUUAAGGUGUGAAGUGAUAAGGAUCUCCAGGGUGUAUGUGUGGUGGGGGAAGAAAUGGCAGUUUCAAAGGAGAGAAGGAGAAUUAUUUGAGAGAAGCUGAAAAAAUGAGAUUGAUAGGCCUUGGCAACAGCUUGGAUAUUGGAAAUGAGAGAUAGUGACUUUGGGAUGACUCCUAGGUUGUAACCCUGAGGGAGUGAAAGAAUAGGGUUGCCUCCUCCAAUAAUAGGAGGCAGGGUAGGGGUUAGGAGCAAAGAUAAUGAGUUCUGUUAUUGGACAUAUUGAGUUUCAGAUGUCUGAUGGAUAUACAGUUCAAGAUGUUUGAAAGGCAAUUGGAGAUGUGAGAUUAGAGGUCAGCAGAGAGGUUGGGGGAGAAUGUGUAAGUUUGAGAAUCAUCAGCAUUGAGAUGAUAAUUAAGUCCAUCGGGAUUGAUGAGGCCACCAAGUGAAGUAUAUUACAGAGGAAGAGGGCCCAGGAUAGAACUCCAAGGGACACCUAUGGUUAAAGAGUAUGAUCUAGAGGAAGAAACAGCAAAAGAGACAAAGAAGGAACAGUCAGAGAUGCAGGAGUAGAAUCAGCAGAGAGGUGUUCCAAAAACCUAGAAAAAAGGGAACAUAAAUAAGAAAGUGACAAAUAGUGUCAAAAGGUAUAGAGACUUCAAGGAAAGCAAGGAUUCAGAAAAAAAAAACAUUGGAUUUGGCAAUGGAUUAUUAGUUGUUUGGCAACAAAGAUUAUUAUAUAGAUAUAAUAUUAAUAAUAUACUAUUAUUAGUAUAAUAGAUAUAAUUAUCUAUUAUAAUUAGAUAAUAAUCUAAUUAGAUUAUUAGAUAAUCAAGAUUAGAUUAUCUUGAAGGGGGCAGUUUCAGUGGAAUAAUGAAGUCAGAAGCCAGAUUGUAAGGGUUUAGGAAGAAAAUAAGAUGAGAAAGUAGAGGUACCUAUCAUAUCAUUUUUUCAAGGAAUUUAGCUAUAUGGAACAGAAAAGAUAUAAGAUGAUAGCAUAACCCUAGAUGAUUUUAGUGAAUUUUUAGGUGAAAUGUGAAGCAAUAUUCUCAGCUGAGAGGAGGGAGUCAUGGGAGGUUCAAGGAGGGAUGAAAAGUUUUGGAAGAACUGCUGGGAAGAGUGAGGAGAUUGAGUUGGUAAGGGGGGGCACAGUACAAUUGCUAAGUAGCAGUGAGGGCCCAGUUUAAGAUGAAUGGCAUAAAUUUGUAGUAGACCCAGUCAGAGAACAGUUAUGUGGUUUUCUCUACCUUCAUUCAGCAGCUUGUAUAUAGUUUCGAAGGCAGCAAAUGGUGAGAGUGAUCAAAAGCUGAGGUUUGGCUGGACAAAGACCUCUAGUGACAGAAUACCCAUUGCCUUUCAAGAUACUCCAUUCUACUUUGGGACAGGUUCCCAAAUACAAAAAAAAAAAAAAGUUAUUCUGCUCACAGAGAUAGAAAUCUUUUUCUGCAACUUUCACCCAUUGUUCCUAGUUCUAUUCACUAGGGCCAAGUUUGAUAUUUCCUCCUAACAGUCCUUCUAAUACUGGAAGACUCCUUUAUUGUCCCCACCUUAAACUUACCUGGCUAAACACUCCUCAUUACUUCAAGAGUUUCUCUUCUCGCAUAAACUCAAGGCCCUUCAACCAUUAUUCCUGACUUCUCUGGAUGUUGUCCAACUCAUCUAUGAUUUUACUGAACCGUGGUACUGAAGAACAAGAUUCCAAAUCCCCUAGCUGAUAUACCAGUUUUCUCUACCAUAACCCUAUUAAUUAGUCAUCUAUCCUAUAUCUGAACACCAAAAUUAAUGAGUAAUUCACCAACUCCUAAGCCAACACACUUCUUUUUCAAACAACUCUGAUUAAAAAUUUCUUAUUUAAAUUGAGAUAAAAAUUGACUCUUCCAUUGCUUCUAAUUUUUGCCUCCUAAUAAUUAGCAGAACAAUUGUUAUUCAUAUCUAAAGGAUAUUCUUAAAAUCUUAGUGAAGUUUUAAGAUUUAAUAAUUUAAAAUCUAUUAAAUAUAAUAGUUUUAAUCACUUAAAACUGAACCAAGGUCUUUGGGACACCCUGUAAGUAAGUGUCUUUGCCUUCCAGAAAUCCUGCUUCCUAAUUCUAGGAGCUCUCUCUAGUUGCCACUGUUGCCAUUUUCCUGCAAGAUGGGCUUGGUCACCUGCAAAUUUGCAGAUCUAUCUUCUAAACACUAGGAGUAACUUUCCUACACGUUACCUUUCUAAUUAUUCUCAUAGAAAGUAAGCUAUCUAAUACAAACAAUAUCUAAUACAAACAAUUAUUUUCAUAUUCUGCUCUACAGUUUUGUCAGUGGUUAGUCAAGUUCAUUGGCUUAUAGAAAUGCUGUUUUGUUUUUUGUUUUUUGUUUUUUUUUUCAUUUUUUGACAGUCCUAUUGUGGUACUUCUGUACUCUGAUUUUUUCAGAUAUCACUGACAGUGACUCAGCCAUCACACUUGCAAAUUCUUUCAUUACCCAAGGGUGAAAUUUUGGUUUGGAAGGGGCAGCUAGGUGGCACAGUGGAUAGAGCACCAGCCCUGAAGUCAGGAGGACCUGAGUUCAAAUCUGGCCUCAAACACUUAACACUUCCUGGCUGUGUGACCCUGGGCAAGUUACUUAACCCCAAUUGCUUGGGAGGGAAGAGAAAUUUUGAUUUGGAGAAUAACUUAUCACUGUGGAUCCUAGUAGCUUCAAGUACACUCCUUCUCUGCCUCUCUCAAUUCUGACAGCAGCUCAGACAUCAUUCUUUGAAUUCAUCAAGGAUGACUGGAUGCUCCCUUAUCAUUUCCUCAGGAAACAUGCUCUUUCAGUGUCAGAUGUUUUUUAGGUCUUCUCCUUUGUUUUGAGGUUUUUUCUCUUUUUCUGUCUCUCUCUGAUGGACAAGGCGAAUUAAGCUCAUUGACACCCAUCUGAUUCCUUUUCCAUCUGUAGAGACACAAGCAAACCCUUUCCCCCAAGCAGGUAACCUGUCUGGUCCAUUCCAUUCACCACUUUCUGGAUCUCUCCUCAUCAACUGGAGAUUAUAUUAGAGCUGCUGGCACUGGACACUGCCCUUCUGUCGGGUUAAAAAGAUUGUAUUCUCCCCAGUUGUAAUCCCUUUCUCCCAUCUGAUUGCUUCUCUGCUGAUUGAUAUAUCAGAGUCCUGAAGUUUUAAAGACUCUCUGGGUGUGACCUCGGCUGCCAUCAUGCCUCACCUGUUUUUUGUUUGAGGUUUUGUUUAUGGAGCUGGGUGGGCCCUGCCUUUCAUUUCUCUGGGUCAAUCUACAUUCUGAGGCCCAGUGGAAGCCUUUAUUGCAUUUUGGACAUGGGGUUUUUGGUCUUGUUCUCUCAUUCUGUCCUCUCACUCUAUCCCUAUGCCAACAUUGAGCUUUCAGAUGCCCUGCUUUAUCACACUGAAAGCAUUGACGAGACUCUCUGGAAAUCCCUUGCCAUGAGGGACCCUGUCUUCUCAUGUUCUGCAUCAUAGCCUGGGUAUAAAAGGCAUUUGUGCCCACUGUGGCACAGUGUCUUAUGAUCUCCUCUAAAGGAGCAUCUUUGUGCAGUCCUAGAAUGAUUCUUCUACAAACCUCAUUAGCAUUUUCUUUAGCAAGUUGUUUUAUCAUUAUUCCUGUAGCUGUGUUUUCUCCAAUCAUUCAUAUGACAGCUGUUUGCAGAUGUCCCACAAAAUCAGCAAAGGGUUCAUUUGGACCUUGCUCUAUUUUCCUGAAGGCUGCCCCUCUAUCUUUUUGUCCUGGGAGGGAACCUCAUGCUUUGAUAGCAGCAGGUGUUUGCUCAUAGGCUAUCAAAGGGUAAUUAAUCUGUGUAAAGUGUCUGCAUAUUGACCUUUACCUGCUAGUUGGUCAAAGGUGAUUUGUAUUUUGACUCCAGUUUGCCUAUUUUGUUGGACUUGUAUUCUACAUAGUUCACUAUACUCCAAAAGCCACAACAAGUUUUGUCCAGGUUCUAAACAUGUCCUUGCUAUAGAUUUCCAAUCACUAAGGGUCAAAAUUUCAUAAGCCAAAUUCUCUAAUAUCAUCUUAAAAUAAGAUGAUGUAGCCCCAUAAAGAGUGCAACCCUUUUUCAAAUCUUAUAUUUUUUUCCAGAUCAAAAGGAGUAUAUCUUCUCCUUUGUUGAACUGAAGAGUCAAACUCUUGAAUAACAGGCUAUGCUUCUAUUAAAUCAGAUACAUCCUGCCCUUCUUUUUUAGCUUUAAAACGUGUGCCUUUUGUAAUCUUGUCAUAGGCUGCUUCAUAAUGGUGCUUCUUGUGUUACUGCCCCUCCCCCUUCUCCUUCUCCCUUUACCCAUGAAGGGUUAAUUGAAGAGGGAGUGUCAUGAGAUGGGGAAUGCCCUAAUGGCUCCUGCUGUGAAGCAUCAUACUCCUUAAUUUAAUCAGAAUCAUACUUAACUCCAUUCUUGUCUGAUUCUUCAUGAUUUUCACCUACUUUGUCAUUAUCCUCCCCCUCCUACACUUUCUUUUUUUUUUCCUUAUUCUAAUACUUUUAUAAUUUCUUAAAGCCAAUUGUAUUAAAUUAUAUGUAUAAAAUGUUUCUUUAAGAAUUGAAUCAGGACCAUUAUCAUUGUAAUAUUUAACUUAGUUGCUCUCCUACUAGUUUCCACUUGUCUGGCUCUAAUUUUUCUUCCUUAGAGAACCUAGGAGAUGUGUAUUUUAAUAUUUCAAAGAGUUCAAUGAUCUGCUUCCAAGUUACAAUCAAAUCUUGUUUUUUAAUUAGUUUAACUAUGCUUUCAACACAUUUUCCUUGAGGUGGAAAAGGUUCCUUUCUAAACAUUUGUCCCAUUUCAGCUGAAAUACUUUCCCUAAUUUCUGAGUCACAGAGACUUUUUCAUUGAACUCAGGAUUGGAGGUUUUUCCACUGAACUCAGGAUCGUGUCAGUUUGGACUGCUGAUUGUAAACCUUAGUCCCAUGUUCAGACGCCAAAAUGUAAUGUUCUCGUUGGUUUUCUGGAGGUCUCUGGACCAGUCUUUGUUUCAGUUCAGCAAUCACCACAAGAAUAGUCAGGUGUUAAAGUCCAAAUUCUUUAUUUUCUCCUUCACAGUCUAGUUCCCUUGCCUGGGGCCCAGUUAGCUUUCUUGAGGCCCUUCAGAUGGGCCUUGGUCUCAGUGGGGCGGGGAGGGGGGGAGAGACAGGACAGAGCAGCCACCACAAGGCUGGUGAAGAAGAUGGAAUGAAUCUCUCUGAGUCCAAGGACUUCUGCUUCAGCCUCCAGCCACCAGAAAGGUGGAUGAUGGAAUGAAUGUGUCUCUGAGUCCCACCCUGGCUGAGUUUGUCCCAGUUUAUAUGCUCUAUUAUAAUUAGAUCAUUUACAGUAUACUGAGUAUAAGCCAAUCAUUAUAUCACUAGGGAAUCAUUAUUUGUUGUAAGAUUAAAUCAAUCAUACUAAACUAGAGAACUAUUAAUCACCAUGCUAAACUAGAUAACCAUUGUCUUAUCAAUUCCACUUAGUUAGCACCUUGUUGUAAGAAUCCUUGUUUCAAGUACAGAGUUCUGGCCCAUAACAGUCAAUAAUUAAAGAGAAAUCUCUCCAUCUUC
ensembl:lncRNA